rnacentral:sRNA from 1 species
AUUCUUGGUCAUUUUAGAGGAAGUAAAAGUCGUAACAAGGUUUCCGUAGGUGAACCUGCGGAAGGAUCAUUAUUGAAUCUCUUGAUGAGUUGUAGCUGGCUCUCCGGGGCAUGUGCACGCUUGUCUUGAUUUUAUUCAUCCACCUGUGCACCUUUUGUAGUCUUGGGGGUUGAAAGCAGUCGACUAUCGGAUGGCUAUGGCUUUUCCGGAUGUGAGAAAUGCUGAGUGCAUAGACGCAUACAGCUCUUCUCAAAUGACUUGCAUACCCUUGAGUACUAUGUAUUCAUAUACCACGUCGUAUGUUGUAGAAUGCCACGAAAGGGCCUAUAAACCUUUAUACAACUUUCAACAACGGAUCUCUUGGCUCUCGCAUCGAUGAAGAACGCAGCGAAAUGCGAUAAGUAAUGUGAAUUGCAGAAUUCAGUGAAUCAUCGAAUCUUUGAACGCACCUUGCGUUCCUUGGUAUUCCGAGGAGCAUGCCUGUUUGAGUGUCAUUAAAUUCUCAAUCCAUAUGAUUUCUUGACCACAUGGACUUUGGACAUGGGACCUUUAUCAGUAAAGGUCAGCUCUCCUGAAAUACAUUAGCGGAACCGUUUGCAGUCCCGUCACUAGUGUGAUAAUUAUCUACACUGUGAUGACUGCUCUCUGACUAGUUCAGCUGCUAAUCGUCCGUUACGGACAAUGUUUAAUCAGCUCUUUUGACCAUCUGACCUCAAAUCAGGCAGGACUACCCGCUGAACUUAAGCAUAUCAAUAAGCGGAGGAAAAGAAACUAACAAGGAUUCCCCUAGUAACUGCGGGUGAAGCGGGAAAAGCUCAAAUUUAAAAUCUGGCAGUCUUUGGCUGUCCGAGUUGUAAUCUAGAGAAGUGCCAUCCGCGCUGGACCGUGUACAAGUCUCCUGAAU